UCUGUUAUAUAGAGCUAUGGAGACAGGUCAUCAGUCUGUUAUAUAGAGCUAUGGAGACAGGUCAUCAGUCUGUUAUAUAGAGCUAUGGAGACAGGUCAUCAGUCUGU